CUUCAGAAGCGGACGUAAGGCGCAUUGAAGACCUUUCUGGCAUGGCUUGAUGAGCGGUGUGUAGGUCUGCACCCAGGAUCUGAACCUGCAAACCCUAGGCCACUGAAGCGGAGUGUGCAAACGUAGCACAAUGCCACUGGGCCCACCCCUCAGAUUAGCCCUGAGCUAACUGCCGCCAACUCUCCUCUUUUCGCUGAGGAACUGGUCCUGAGCUAACAUCUAUGCCCAUCUUCCUCUACUUUAUAUGUGGGAUGCCUACCAUAGCAUGGCGUGCCAAGUGGUGCCAUGUCCACACCUGGGAUCCGAACCCGCGAACCACGGGCUGCUGAGAAGCAGAACGUGUGAACUUAACCGCUGUGCCACCGGGUCGGCCCCUCCUGGGUUUGAUACUGUAUGCUGGUUAUCCAAGACAUAACCGUUGGGGGAAACUGGGACACUUGGUAGCAGUAAAAGGUUGCCCUGAACACUUGACAGAAAGUCAAAGGCAAGAGUAAUAGACAGAAAUACAAAACCUCGGGUCUUGGCUUUAUCACCUGGAGCUACAUAAUGCUGCCACCAAGCCUGCUGUUAGGGUUGUUCAAGUGCCAGCAUCAUUACAGGCCAGAAGACCCUGGAGCCCCUUCGCUGUUGGCCAUGUGACAGCCCCUCAGAUGGCAAAGGCAGACUUGUGGGCUGUCUACAGAUCCGGACACCUGGAGGCUCGGCUCUGUUCCAAGAGGUGAUUUAUGUAGGCAACACAACCCGAGGAGAGGAAAGCCUACGCGGCCCUUUAGACUUCACAUCUUCUUCUACGCCUGAUAGGACUUUCGCAUUUUACAACUGCAUAAUAAUUCUGUUAUUAGGAGGAAUGCCCCUUCAUGUGCCCCAAAUAAAAAAAGGAAAAGUUAAAACCAGAAGUCUUCCAAAACUUAACAUGUCGGUUUUCUCAGAUAGGAAAACCAGACAAGUUACCUCACAAGAAGCAUAGGCUGUGCCACAAACCUUGCUCUUAGUUUUCUUUCGGUCUGAGCGUCCUCAGAUGGGGGUAGGUGGAUGUCUCCAGUUCUACUGGGACUUUUGGAGAAAUUGAAGGAAGGGAACCUCAUUAGCAGAAGGACAAGGAACUAGUCCAGGCGAUAUCUGAAUAUUUAUUAUUUGACCUUAUCUUGAAUGGAAAGGAAAGGCUCUUUGUUCAAAAAACUUCUGACUGAUGCCUGUUCUUUGGACUUCCCUCAUUGCUUUAUAAAAAAAACCUAUUAAUUAACUUAGUGCCUGUUAGAAAGAAGUGAGCUUUCUCUGAACUCUCACAAUUGGUCAUUACUGCUGGUAAGAGAAGCAGCAUUAUGAUUUCCUUUUACAUAUGAAGAAAAUGACGUUCAGAUUAACUUUAUAAUCAUGCAAUAAAUAAUUUGGAGAUCUGGGACCCAAGCAAGCAAAGGGCUAUGGCAGGGAGACCUGGGCUUUUGUUCUGACUUUGCCUACAGCUCGAGGCCACCACUUUGGUCCUUAGUUUUCUUGCCUUAAAAUGGGUUCAGUGGAUUAGAUUGGGGUGGUAACCUUUUUCUGUAAAGGGCCAGAUGUAAACAUUUGUGGCUUUCUGGGCCAUCCAGUCUCUGCGGCAACUACUCAACUCUGCCACUGGAGAGUAAAAGCAGCCACAGACAACAUGUGAAACAAACGGGUGUGACAUUGUGCCAAUAAAACUUCAUUUGCAAAAAUAGGCAGCGGCAUGGAUUUGGUCCAUAGGCUGCAGUUUGCAGACCCCUGGACUAGAUGAUAUAGAAGUUUCUUCUACUGCUAAAAUUUUAUGAUUCAACUUGUUUUAAUGGCAAUGCUAUUUCCCUAGGAAAGUCAUCUUGAUUACACAAUCGUCUGCUGAUUAUACAGUUUAUGAGUACUUAAAUAUUUUUCUGAUGUUCAUUGUAGCAUGAUUCACAAUAGCCAAGGUAUGGAAACUACUUAAGUGUCAUCUGUUAAUGGAUGAAUAGAUAAAAAAGAGGUGGUGUAUAUAUACAAUGGAAUAUUAUUCAGCCAUGAGAAAGAAGGAAAUCCUGCUAUUUGUGACAACCUAGAUGGACCUUGAGGGCAGUAAGCUAAGUGAGCUAAGUCAGACAGAGAAAGACAAAUACUUACAUGUCGACCCUAAAAAAGCCAAACUCGUAGAAACAGAGAGUAAAAUAGUGGUUACUGUCAGGCUGGGGGGUGGAGAAUCGGGGAGAUGUUGAGCAAAGGGUACAAACUUGCAGUUGAAGAUGAGUAAGUUCUGGAGAUCUAACACACAGCAUAGUGAUUUAGCCAACACUAUUGUAUUAUAUACUUCAAAGCUGCUGAGAGACUAGAUCUUAAAUAUUCCCCUUACAAAAGAGAAAUGAUAAUUAUGUGAGUGCUAGAGGAUUUAGCUAAUGCUGUGGUGAUAAUCAUACUGCAAUAUACAAAAGUAUCAAAUCAAUACAUUGUACACCUUAAAUUUACACAAUGCUGUAUGUCAAUUAUAUCCAAUAAAAAGUA
ensembl:lncRNA